UGGGCUGCUUCUGAAGGCAUUAAGGUGGUAAAUUUGUUUUUAGAAAUUUGAAUCUCAUCGGAAAAAUUGAAUUGUUGACAAUUUGACUUGCUGCUUAUUGCAUUCCAAUUUUGCAUUUUCUUAUGAAGAAGAAAUAUAAAAUUUUGAGCUUUUCUUUUUCACUCAAUACAUUUUAUUAUUUUUAUCCUGGUGAAACUGUUGGAUUCAGAUGAAUGUUUUAUCUUUAUAUUUGAAUUAGAAGGGGCUUCUUGGUUCUUAAUUGAAAAUAGUUGCAGGUUGAUCACAUGUAAUGGUAUGCUGACAUGGUGGCCCUUCUCAUAAAUGUGGCUAAUGCUUAAUAUAAACACGUGUCAACUCUUUUCUUUUUAAUGAAUCACUUGAGUUAUUGUCUUCUUUUAAAACCACUAGUACUUUCAACGAUUCAUUUAUCCUUCACCAGAACUUGCACAUAAAAUGUCCUUGUGGAUCAUGCACCCUACCAUUUAUACUUGUAUUCUUCCUCUUGUCAAACAAGAGGCUUUAAUGACCAACCCCAAUAUGAUAAGAAAGGAUCAUAGAGAAACUCAACCAAUCUGUUUUUAUUAGCAAGUCCUGGUCUAGAAUUUUUGUUCUGCUCAAAAGAGUCAAUUGUGGUAAUCUUUUAAUUUUAUCUGCCUUUUCAUCAUUAUUUGAGAGUGAAAAUUUAUUUGGGGUAUAAAUUUUACAUGCAGCCAUUGUUUCAUUUUAGUUAUUAUACUUUAAUUUGUUUCAAUA
rnacentral:misc_RNA from 1 species